rnacentral:lncRNA from 1 species
CCCUCUUUUUUCUAAAAGAAAAGAAGUGAUAAAUAACAUUGUAAUUGUAAUGUAAACCAAAGUGGUGAACGUAGAAAGAGCAUGGGCCUAUCACCUUCACUCUCUUACUAGAGUACGUGCAGACAUUAUGAUCUUUAGUAACAAUGGCAUCUAGCUAAAGCAGCCUGCCUAGUCAUCUUUAUUGCAAUAUUAUUUUAAAGAGUAAUGCUUAAAAUUUCAUUCUAUUGAUACUGGUGUGGCUAGGGCUGUGCAAUCGGUCGGUUCGGUUCCGAACCGAACCGAACCGAUAAAACCGAAAACCGAUUUGUUAAAAUUUAUAAAAUCGAAAAAACCGAUUAUGAAGGUAUAACCGAACCGAUAAAAAUCGGUUCGGUUCGGUUCGGUUCAAACCGAAAUCUGUAUUUUUUUUUAAUUUUUUAUUUCUAAUUUCAACAAAAUAAUUUAAUAAACAUUCUAUUAAAAACCACAGCCACCCACAGAGAUAUGAAUCAAAACCCAGAUGAGAGAAACUCGCAACCCAGAUGAGAGAAAUGAAGUAUAUGCGGAAAAUUGUAUAAAUUUGGAUAUAUAUUACCUCUUCAGCUCUUCUUCACCGUCUUCAUCCUCGUCAUCGUUUUCCUCCUCGUCGUCGUCGUCAUCGUCAUCGUCGUCUCCGCCUUCACCAUCGUCAUCUUCAUCGUCAUCCUCGUUGUCGUCGUCCUCGUCGUCAUCCGCCGACUGAACCGGUGGCCCUCUGGAGGAUUGUAAAACCUGAACCUCGUCGUCUUCGUCGUCCUCGCCCCCCUCAUCAUCGUCUUCGUCGUCGUCAUCUUCGUCACCGUCGUCGUCCUCGUCGCCAUCUUCUUCUUCCUCUUCCUCUUUAGAUUCUACACCUUCCUCUGUUUCACUAGAGAAUGUGGAAAAUGGGAUGGAGGGGUUCGGCGAAAGGUAUGGAGGGGGUUGGGGGUGCUGGCCUGCUGGGUUGGGUUGGGUUGGGUUGGGUACGAUAGGCCAGCACCCCAACCCCCUGGGUUGGGUUGGGUUCGGUUUUUCGGUUUGAUCGGUUAUUUAACAUGUUUAAACCGAACCGAACCGAAAACCGAAUAAUUUUAAAUCUACUAACUGAACCAAACCGAUCUUUCCGAAUAACCGAACCGAUAAACCGAAUUUAAUCGGUUCGGUUCGGUUUUUCGGUUUAGACCGAGAAUUGCUCAGCCCUAGGUGUGGCUGUCCUUCCUUGCAGUGCCAAUUUUACCUUGUCCACCUUAUUAAAGGCUUUAUAUACGACCUUCCUGAUUUUGGAUGGAAAAUAUUAGUAAUUCAACUUCAGAAAUAAAAUGGUUCCUUAAUGCAUUUUAUGUAGAAGUCCAUUUUUUCUUUUGAUUCAAAUGAUUUGUGGGCUAAAAAAAAGGUUUACCCUCCUCUUCUCCAGAAUCCUACUCCCUGAUUGUAAAACCUUAUAUUAUGGGCGGGAAGUAUUGCUUGAUUAUAGCUGCCCACUGUUGCAGUAUGCAUGUAUGUUGGUCUGAAAAAGUCUGAGACCAAGUGGUCGGCUCUGUCAUUUAUCACAUAUAAGUAGAAUCUGUUUGAUUUUCGCAUCUCUGCCUUAGUGAAUCUAUAUGUGGGUGUUAUUCAAUCUCAAUGGAAGCAAGAGAGACUGUUGUGUACAAGCAAUACACAAGGAAACAAUAUCAGUUGAAAAGAGACUUGGGAGAAAGUGCAGGUAGACCUAAUGGGCUUAUCUCUGUAUGGUUGGUGACAAUAAGUGUGGAACAUAUGUAUAUAUUUGUAAUGAUAAAUGUGAGGUAGAUAACUGGAGCCUUCCUCUUGGUGUCAGAGAAUAAACAGAGUGCUGUUAUGGAUAUUAAAGGAGCAAGUUUCCUUCCAUGUCAAGUGAUUAAUACUUUAAUAGGUAGAAUAUAUGCAAUUAGAGAAUGUGAUAAUUGAUAGAUUAUGUCAAGGAUAUGCUAGUAGGUAAUUUGUUUUUGGCAUAAAAGCUUAUGGAAAAAUCGAGAAGGAAAUGCAGUUCAGUAUCUGUCCUUGAAAUGGGAACUGAAGAGCUCUCACAUGGCUGAAUGUGAUGGUUGAGAAACUGUUGAUCUGGUGUCAUGUGGCUUAGGUCUGAAUGGGUAGGCGUUGUAAGCAUUAAAAAUAUAAGGUCAAGGCCCUAUAUGUUUCCAAAGAUGCAUGGGUUGCAUUCAAUCCCAUUGGAUACCGCCUAGAGAGUUGGUAUCUCCAUUGACAAGCAUGCUUUGAGGCAACCUAGCCAAUUCUCCCUAAUCAUUCCUUAAUUUAAGUAUUAUUUUUCAGAGUUCUCUCACUAGCUCUUUAAGUAAUUGUUUUCUUUUUUGUUAGUGAUGUCAAUUUCCUUUCUUUUAGGAUUCUGAAUUUAAUGCUAGAUUUCAGAUGUAUGCACGCAAUUAGACUUUAAAUUCCCUAGUUAAAUUUGUAUUGAUGAAAUAAUUUUGUAUUUAAUUGGGAAAUGGUUUGGGUUUUCAUAAUGUUCAAGUUAGAAAUGUCUUCCUUUCCUAAUCCACUAUUGGUUUUAAACCUUAUCAAUACAG